rnacentral:rRNA from 1 species
AGAGUUUGAUCCUGGCUCAGGACGAACGCUGGCGGCGUGCUUAACACAUGCAAGUCGAACGGUGAAAGAGGAGCUUGCUCCUCUGGAUCAGUGGCGAACGGGUGAGUAACACGUGAGUAACCUGCCCUUGACUCUGGGAUAACCUCGGGAAACCGAAGCUAAUACCGGAUACGACCCUCGGAGGCAUCUCCAGGGGGUGGAAAGAACUUCGGUCAAGGAUGGACUCGCGGCCUAUCAGGUAGUUGGUGAGGUAACGGCUCACCAAGCCGACGACGGGUAGCCGGCCUGAGAGGGUGACCGGCCACACUGGGACUGAGACACGGCCCAGACUCCUACGGGAGGCAGCAGUGGGGAAUAUCGCACAAUGGGCGCAAGCCUGAUGCAGCAACGCCGCGUGAGGGACGACGGCCUUCGGGUUGUAAACCUCUUUUAGUAGGGAAGAAGCGAAAGUGACGGUACCUGCAGAAAAAGCACCGGCUAACUACGUGCCAGCAGCCGCGGUAAUACGUAGGGUGCAAGCGUUGUCCGGAAUUAUUGGGCGUAAAGAGCUCGUAGGCGGUUUGUCGCGUCUGCUGUGAAAUCCCGAGGCUCAACCUCGGGCCUGCAGUGGGUACGGGCAAACUAGAGUGCGGUAGGGGAGAUUGGAAUUCCUGGUGUAGCGGUGGAAUGCGCAGAUAUCAGGAGGAACACCGAUGGCGAAGGCAGAUCUCUGGGCCGUAACUGACGCUGAGGAGCGAAAGCGUGGGGAGCGAGCAGGAUUAGAUACCCUGGUAGUCCACGCCGUAAACGUUGGGAACUAGAUGUGGGGACCAUUCCACGGUCUCCGUGUCGCAGCUAACGCAUUAAGUUCCCCGCCUGGGGAGUACGGCCGCAAGGCUAAAACUCAAAGGAAUUGACGG